AGUCGCGUGGUGUAGUUGGUUAUCACGUCUGCUUUACACGCAGAAGAGCGCGAGUUCGAAUCUCGCCGUGACUA
rnacentral:tRNA from 1 species